GACGUAGUGCCAGAGUGGUUAAUGGGUUAGACUUGAAUUACCUAAUUCAUGUCAUCUAAUGGCUUCGGCCUCGCAAGUUCGAAUCUUGUCUACGUCG
rnacentral:tRNA from 1 species